UAAUAAAUUCUUUGGUUAAAACAAGAAAAUCUUUGAUUAAAUCAUGCAACUAGCCUUGGCUAGGUCAAAGGGGUGCCUUGGAUUUUAUCCUUGCCUUCCCCUUUGUCAAAUGUGACUCCCGAACCUUUUUCUUUGGUUUACGUGGACUAGGAGUCGUUUAAAAGGGGUUUCUUACUACUUUUUCCUAUUUUUCUUUAAAAAUUCAUUUUUUGGUGACUUGGUACACCUUAACUCAUUACCAAGUGGCG
rnacentral:lncRNA from 1 species